rnacentral:rRNA from 1 species
GCCAUGCAUGUCUAAGUAUAAGCAAUCAUACUGUGAAACUGCGAAUGGCUCAUUAAAUCAGUUAUCGUUUAUUUGAUAGUACCUUUACCUGGAUAACCGUGGUAAUUCUAGAGCUAAUACAUGCUAAAAACCCCGACUUCGGGAGGGGUGUAUUUAUUAGAUAAAAAACCAAUGCCCUUCCGGGCUCCUUGGUGAUUCAUAAUAACUUAACGAAUCGCAUGGCCUUGCGCCGGCGAUGGUUCAUUCAAAUUUCUGCCCUAUCAACUUUCGAUUGUAACAUAGUGGCUUACAAUGGUCUUAACGGGUAACGGGGAAUUAGGGUUCUAUUCCGGAGAGGGAGCCUGAGAAACGGCUACCACAUCCAAGGAAGGCAGCAGGCGCGCAAAUUACCCAAUCCCGAUUCGGGGAGGUAGUGACAAUAAAUACUGAUACGGGGCUCUUUCGGGUCUCGUAAUUGGAAUGAGUACAAUCUAAAUCCCUUAACGAGGAACAAUUGGAGGGCAAGUCUGGUGCCAGCAGCCGCGGUAAUUCCAGCUCCAAUAGCGUAUAUUAAAGUUGUUGCCGUUAAAAAGCUCGUAGUUGAACCUUGGACCUGGCUGAUCUGUCCUCCUAAUCGAGCGCACGGAUUCGGUCGGGUCUUUCCUUCUGGGGAGCCCUAUGCCCUUCACUGGGUGUAGUGGGGAACCAGGACUUUUACCUUGAAAAAAUUAGAGUGUUCAAAGCAGGCCUUUGCUCGAAUACAUUAGCAUGGAAUAAUAGAAUAGGACAUCGGUUCUAUUUUGUUGGUUUCUAGGACCGNUGUAAUGAUUAAUAGGGAUAGUCGGGGNCGUCAGUAUUCAAUUGUCAGAGGUGAAAUUCUUGGAUUUAUUGAAGACUAACUACUGCGAAAGCAUUCGCCAAGGAUGUUUUCAUUAAUCAGUGAACGAAAGUUAGGGGAUCGAAGACGAUCAGAUACCGUCGUAGUCUUAACCAUAAACUAUGCCGAUCAGGGAUCGGACGGUGGUUUUUUUAUGCCCCGUUCGGCACCUUACGAGAAAUCAAAGUGUUUGGGC